GAUGAAGAACGCAGUGAAAUGCGAUAAGUAGUGUGAAUUGCAGAAUUCAGUGAAUCAUCGAAUCUUUGAACGCACAUUGCGCCCCUCGGUAUUCCGUGGGGCAUGCCUGUUCGAGCGUCAUCUACACCCUCAAGCUCUGCUUGGUGUUGGGCGUCUGUCCCGCCUCCGCGCGUGGACUCGCCCCAAAUUCAUUGGCAGCGGUCCUUGCCUCCUCUCGCGCAGCACAUUGCGCUUCUUGAGGGGCUCCGGUUCGCGUCCAACAAGCACAUUUACCGUCUUUGACCUCGGAUCAGGUAGGGAUACCCGCUGAACUUAAGCAUAUCAAUAAGCGGAGGA
rnacentral:misc_RNA from 1 species